CCACUUCAUUUGACAGUUCGACAUCAACAAUGUCGGAACGCCAGUUGUUGCUGCUUUGAAGAGAAAACAUUUCAAGCUUGCUUCCUGCUAAAAUCACAUCUAACUACUUAACGAACUUCAGACGUGAGCAAUAGGAAAACAUCUGAGGGUGUCAUUUUGUUAAAAGAGUCUUAUUUCGCUAAGCAGGCAAGUCUGUUUGCAGCCGCUUCCAAUUUUCAAUGUAAUGAGGGCUGAUGAUCGCUUAGAAAUUGGGGUUAAAAAAAAAAAAAAA